GCCCAUAUAGCUCAGUUGGUUAGAGCGCUUGUUUCGUAAACAAGAGGCCGGGAGUUCAAGUCUCUCUAUGGGCU
rnacentral:tRNA from 1 species